GGGGCCUUAGCUCAGCUGGGAGAGCACCUGCUUUGCAAGCAGGGGGUCAUCGGUUCGAUCCCGAUAGGCUCCACCA
rnacentral:tRNA from 319 species